rnacentral:rRNA from 1 species
GUCCUACGGGGGGCAGCAGUGAGGAAUAUUGGUCAAUGGGCGGAAGCCUGAACCAGCCAAGUCGCGUGAGGGAAUAAGGCCCUACGGGUCGUAAACCUCUUUUGCCGGGGAGCAAGGGCGGGGACGUGUCCCAGCCCGGAGAGUACCCGGAGAAAAAGCAUCGGCUAACUCCGUGCCAGCAGCCGCGGUAAUACGGAGGAUGCGAGCGUUAUCCGGAUUUAUUGGGUUUAAAGGGUGCGUAGGCGGGCUUUUAAGUCAGCGGUAAAAAUUCGGGGCUCACCCCCGGCCGGCCGUUGAAACUGGGG